GCCUUUUACAAAAUAAAACCUGUAGAGUUUUCUGUUUCUGCUCCCGAACGCAGCAAACCCGGAAGUGACUGUUCCGAUUUGCGAACUAUUUUUGGAAGCCGAAUGUCCGACGGGGCUUCUGAUUGGCUGCAGGAGCUUCCUGCAGCCAAUCAGAAGCAGCGCUUUGGUUUCCAAACGCUUUGAAAGUUGAACAGACUUCCGGAACGGAUUCCGUUUGACUUCCAAGGUACAACUGUAUAUGGUUACUAGACCACCAACUGGCUAUUAAGGUCGGGUUACAGAAUCAUUCCGUAUUCUCCCUCCUCACUCUGGGGUAUCCUACAGUGUGUUCUAGGAGAGGCAUUCACAAAACUCUUAGGACGAUUUUACCAGCUCUUAACUAGUACAUACGCUCCAUUUCUUUGGUGAUGCAAUUCUUUCAGUUACUACCCUAAGAUAUAGGAGUGUGACCGCAGGGAUGGGCAUACAUUUGACAACAACACCCAUCGCACGUAUGUUUCAUCAAAAUAAAUCCCACCCAUUUCAACAAAUAACACUUUUAAGCAAGGGAGUUUAGGAAUGCAGCCUUAAAUCUCUUACAGUUCAAAAACAAAAAUAACAUGUUAUUUAUUUUGGAAAAGUUCAUAUACCACUCAAUUGUUUUUUAAAAGCUCAGAGUAGCUCAAGUAUAAAAAUAAAUAAAUAAUCAGUAACAGUUAAAAAUAGCUAUUUAAAACAUAAAAAAAUCAACAAUAAGCUAACAGCCUGAUCAAAACACAGGCCAACUUUCUACAUAUCUGAGUAGGCAUUGUAACAUACAAUUUAUGUUUUACAACCGCAGCUUCCACACAUUUAUAGUAGUUCAAUAAUUUGUUUGUGUUGCAUAUUCUGAAGUGUUUUUUGUUUAUUGCAAAAUUAGUGGCAGGCAAAGACCCAGCAAUCAGAUUCUAAAAUUUCUGGAUAAAAGCUGCCAUGAAAACGAUAUGCCAUUAGUUAAAAGUUUCUGUUACCUGAUUUAACAGAUUUCUUGUUCUCUAAGUAUAUGGAGCCCAUUUCUAAUCUAUAUAAAUCUACAAGAGAGACAGGUGGCCAAGCCUCUGAAAUACAGAAUAUGUAUCUGCAAUCCGCCAGAUAUCACUGAUGACUGGGGACGCCCAUCAUCUCAAGGAAAGCAUUGCCGGUGGCCCACUGAUUACCUAGUCUCUGGCUGAUGAACCACUUCGGGGUGGGACUGCAAUUUUAUUUUACGUCCUGAUAGUUGGUAGUGCGUUUGCUUGGGGUGCCUUCUGCUAUUAAGAGUCGGAGAUGCAGGAAGACUCAACACUGGAGAACUUCCUGGUAUGCAAACAUAAUCUAUGAACACCUUGAGAUCUUCACCAUCAAGGCCAGCCCAAGACAUUUUGGUACCCGAGGCAAGCCACAAAACGGUUCCUCCCACAACUGGGGAAGAAUGGGUGAGUGAAGAUCUACAUCAGGAACAAGGCCGCUGUAGAGGCAGAUCAGGACUUCAAGCAGCGCGCCACAGCCAUUGUUGUCACCAUGGCUGCGGGACUCUUUGGAGACCGGAUCCAUUGCCCACACUGCCUCAUGGGUGGGCCGGUCCUGCUUGGCACUGACUAUCCAGUAAACAGCUCUUUCCCUUAUCCUGCAGAUUCACCACAUUAUGAACUGCCACAAUAUAGCUAUCCGUUCCUCGAACACAGAAGGUGACUAUUAUUUAAUAUAUCUAUAAAAGGUAAAGGUAAAGGUACCCCUACCCAUACGGGCCAGUCUUGACAGACUCUAGGGUUGUGCGCUCAUCUCACUCUAGAGGCCGGGAGUCAGCGCUGUCCGCAGACACUUCCGGGUCACGUGGCCAGAGUGACGAAGCUGCUCCGGCGAACCGGCACCAGAGCAGCACACGGAAACGCCAAUAUAUCUAUAGCCCAUCUCAACUUGUAAAACACAAAUAGUUAAAAAGAAGAUAGUAAAGAUACAUCACAACACAUUUAAAGCCAGCAGUUAAAAUGCAAUUUGCAUGAAUAACCCAUUUUCAUUCUGGAAACGGGGCUGUGAUGGUUCAGAGCUUAUACCGAAACUCUAACCAUUGCUAGGUGAAUGAUGUACGGAGAGUGAAAUGGACUGCUGUUAGGAUCCAGGAAUCCAACUCCUGGGUGAACGUACUCUGGGCCUGCUCAGCUCUGAAGAAUAAUCAUUCUUCUAAGAAUAAUAAUAUAUAGAUAUGACUAAAAUCACACUGCAGACUACUCCUUGGUCCACAAUUUGUUAUUCUUUUGUUUAGUUCGUUAUUAAAAUCC